UUAGGAUGGUGGUUAAUAUGAAGCCGACGUGCAGCUCAGAAGCUUUUCAGGGUAGUCGAUGGACUAUUAACAUGCCUCUUCCAUAAAAGCAAUUUAUUUAUAGAUAGUUAACAAGUGAAGAUUGUUUAUGCUAAAAGGAAGAAUUCUCAGAAAUAUUUUAUUAUAUUAAUAACUUUACUACUCAUAAGGUAAAAGCCAGGUAUUGUCCCUCAGAACUUGGCCCCCCAAGGUCCUGAGCCCUCUGGAGACUGUCUGGAGAUGGACUUAAUUUUGCCUCAGGGCUGAGGUGACAGGAUGAAAUUGCUCAGAUGCCUGAGGCAACAGACUGAGUUGUCUGGAAUGAUAAUGAUUAUUCAAAUGAUAAUUAUCCAAAUGACCCAGAUUUCUUCCUUGCUGUAUCUUGACAAAUUGCUAGGCAGUGACACCUCUGCUGUCUGUGGUUCUGUGGACAGACACGUUUGGAUACCCACAAAGCUUACCAUGGAUUUGUCUUCCACUCUGCUUCUACAGCUGUAGGAUUUCAAAGUGCAAGUGCUCAGAACAGGGUGUCCAACUGUAACCCGCACAGCAGUGUACCUUGUGACUAGCCUCUGGGUCUCUGGUUUUUGUAUUGAUGAUUUAUAUUAUUUUCCUUUAUUUUUUAUCUUUAAUCCUUUAAUGGAGAAGGAAUAGACUAAAAGGAUGGAUGAGAAGAACUGAAAAGCAGCAGUUGCUGCAGAAACAACAGUACUACAAAGUGUGGCUAAAAAGUAAAUGGACAGGAAAAUCUUAAGCAAAAGGAUGAUCAGAUUUGUGGAAUAUCAGGAAGGUGCCAUGACUCUUCUGGCUUUAUAGUAGUUACCCAAGGAGUCUCUCUUCCAUAUGAUCAUGGGUCAGACAAAGAACAUCCAUACUAGUCCUCUCACCUGUUAUUGAGUUCUCUGAAGUAUCUUUUUCUCUGCAGACCAAAAUAAUAAAAGAGAAAGGUCCUCCUCUAUCUCUCUGCAACAAACCUGAUGCCAUUAGAAGGCACUGUUAAACAUUAAAAGAAAUAAGCCUGAACAUAACCAGUCAAGACCUAGCAUGUCUUUUAGUAUCUGGCAGAAGAACAUCUUAGGGUGAUGCUUUCAAAAAUCCAAAGCCUUCAAGAGGAGCGCAUCAGUGACCUCCCAGCUUUCUAUGCUGGUAGAGUACCGCUUGAAGAAUACAUUCCAGCACUUGUGGAAUUUUGAUGAAGCACCAGUUUGUACAAGAUAUUGUCAGCACAUUUUUAUCCCAACGAUUGCACUCAGAAUGAAGUGCUGUGGGCAUAAGGAGCAUGUGCAUCAUUAGUUACUCAGGUUUACAGCUCACACUGAUUUUGAUUCCCCACCUUACUGGCUCCAAAACCUCUACUUAUCCUAACCAGUUAAAUAAUGUAAGAAAAUGAGAAGCUCUGAAUGGGCCAUAUACUUUGAAAAGCUUUGAUAGUUUGACCAUAAAACUAUGUUUGACACAGCUGCACAACUUUUUAUUUGAAACUGGCCUGCAUCCAACUGGUUAGGAGAAGAAGCAGUGAGAACAGCUAUCUAUCUGUAAAAAAACCACUGGCUGCUUGGAGAGACUUCCCUGGUUUGGAGUCUCUAUGUUGCUUAUCAUUCUGUAUGCCAGCUGUCUCCAAAAAUGAUACAUUAAAGGAUUUAACCACUACAAAGAUUAAAUGAUAAAUGAAUACAUGAAAAACUACAUAAAAGGCAGCACAUUUUUAAUAGGAUUUCAAUAAGAAAGAAAUUUAGGACAAGAGGAAACGGCUUCAAGUUGCACCGGGGAGAUUUAGAUCGGAUAUCAGGAAAAAUGUCUUCACCAAAAGGGUUGUCAAGCACUGGAACAGGCUGCCCGGGUGUGUUGGGUUUGCAUGGCAAGGUUUUGGUAGCAGGGGGGCUACAGGGGUGGCUUCUGUGAGAAGCUGCUAGAAGCUUCCCCUGUGUCUGAUAGAGCCAAUGCCAGCCGGCUCCAGGAUGGACCCGCCGCUGGCUAAGGCCAAGCCAAUCAGCGCCUCUGUGAUAACAUAUUUAAGAAGAAGAAAAACACUUAGAGAGCUUUUGCAGCCGGAGAGAGGAGUGAGAAGAUGUAAGAAACUCUGCAGACACCAAGGUCAGUGCAGAAGGAGGGGCAGGAGGUGCUCCAGGCACUGGAGCAGAGAUCCCCCUGCAGCCCAUGGUGAAGACCAUGAUGAAGCAGGCUGUCCCCCUGCAGCCCAUGGAGGAAGGAUGAGGGGGUGUAGAGAUUCCACCUGCAGCCCGUGGAGGACCCCACGCCGGAGCAGGUGGAGGCACCUGAAGGAGGCUGUGGCCCGUGGGAAGCCCAUGUUGGAGCAAGUUCCCGGCCAGACCGGUGGACCCGUGAAGAGGGGAGCCCACGCCAGGGCAGGUUUGCUGGCAGGACUUGUGACCCCGUGGGGGACCCCACGCUGGAGCAGUUUGCUCCUGAAGGUCUGCACCCCGUGAGAGGGACUCCAUGCUGGAGCAGGGGAACGAUGAGAGGAGUCCUCCCCCUGAGGAUGAAGAAGCGGCAGAAACACCGUGUGAUGAACUGACCGUAACCCCCAUUCCCCGUCCCCCUGUGCCGCUGAGGGGGGGCAGAGGUUGAAGCCGGGAGUGAAGACGAGCCCAGGAAGAUGGGAGGGGUGGGGGGAGGUGUUUUAAGAGUUGAUUUUAUUUCUCAUUCCUCUACUCUGUUUUGCUCGUGACAACAAUUAGUGAGUGAUCUCUCCGUGUCCUUAUCUCGACCCACAAGCAUUUCGUUAUGCCUUUUCUCCCCUGUUUAGUGAAUGAGGGGAGUGAGAGAGCAGCUCUGGUGGGCACCUGGCCUUCAGCCAGGGUCAACCCACCACACCGGGGAAAUAGUUAAGUCACCAUCCCUGGAGGUAUUUAAAAGAUGUGUGGAUGUGGUGCUUAGGUUUAGUGGUGGGCUUGGCAGUGGUAUAUUUGCAGUUGGUCUUGAUGAUCUUAAAGGUCGUCUCCAACCUAAAUGAUUCUGUGAUUCUAUGAAAUUUAAGUCGAAGAAGCAGAAGGAUGCAGAGAUUCUGUACCAUGUGGCUGUGACACUGUGCUUCUGCAGAGCACUGAGCACUGAGCACCUGCAAGUGGCCUGACAGCAACAGAAGUUGACAUUUGGGUUGAACCCUAAAAUUUUAUGUCAUUGUAUAGAGUGUUUCACACCUAACUGGGGGGUAGAAAUCCCGAAACACAAAUUAAAAUGAAAUGAGGGAAUUUGAACUAAAUGUUCAAAAUAUUUCCAUGUGCAGCACUGAAUUUAUUUGGAAACAUGUCAUAAGACAGCAUAAUUCCUCUCCUUUCCCACCAGUAAAGCCUAGUUUAACCCUGGAAUCUUGGGAAAGAUUAAAAUGAAAGACUUAUUUAUUCCUAACUGAUAACUUCCUAAAAAAAAGAUCUCUCAGAAGUACCAAAAGAGAAAUUGCUGCAGUCACUAAAUCUUACUGCAAAGUACCUUGUGCACCACAUAAAUGACAAUAUUUGCUUCAGAAUCAUUAUCAUGUAACCUGUAACACCUGGACACCUAUAUGGGAUUGCUGUUUUCUGUACAUAAAUGUAUGCUUCAUAAUGAGUUAAUAAAUCUGUUAUUGCA